UACGGGGGGGGCAAGCGUUGUUCGGAAUUACUGGCGUAAAGGCGCGUAGGCGGUUCAUUAAGUUGGAUGUGAAACUCUGGGCUAACUCAGAGCCUGCAUUCAAACUGAUGGCUGGAGUUCUGGAGGGAUAGCGGAAUUCCUGGUGUAGCGGUAGAAAUGCGUAGAUAUCAGGAGGAACACCUGAGGCGAAGGCGGCAUCCUGGACCAAGUACUGACGCUGAGGAGCGAAAGCCAGGGAGCAAACGGG
rnacentral:rRNA from 1 species